rnacentral:rRNA from 1 species
AACGAACGCUGGCGGCAGGCUUAACACAUGUAAGUCGAGCGCCCCGCAAGGGGAGCGGCAGACGGGUGAGUAACGCGUGGGAACAUACCCUUUCCUGCGGAAUAGCUCCGGGAAACUGGAAUUAAUACCGCAUACGCCCUACGGGGGAAAGAUUUAUCGGGGAAGGAUUGGCCCGCGUUGGAUUAGCUAGUUGGUGGGGUAAAGGCCUACCAAGGCGACGAUCCAUAGCCGGUCUGAGAGGAUGAUCAGCCACAUUGGGACUGAGACACGGCCCAAACUCCUACGGGAGGCAGCAGUGGGGAAUAUUGGACAAUGGGCGCAAGCCUGAUCCAGCCAUGCCGCGUGAGUGAUGAAGGCCUUAGGGUUGUAAAGCUCUUUCACCGGAGAAGAUAAUGACGGUAUCCGGAGAAGAAGCCCCGGCUAACUUCGUGCCAGCAGCAGCCGCCG